UCGGGAAUAUUGCGCAAUGGAGGAAACUCUGACGCAGUGACGCCGCGUGCAGGAAGAAGGUUUUCGGAUUGUAAACUGCUUUAGACAGGGAAGAAAAAAUGACAGUACCUGUAGAAUAAGCUCCGACUAACUACGUGCCAGCAGCCGCGGUAAUACGUAGGGAGCAAGCGUUAUCCGGAUUUAUUGGGUGUAAAGGGUGCGUAGACGGGAAGACAAGUUAGUUGUGAAAUCCCUCGGCUUAACUGAGGAACUGCAACUAAAACUAUCAUUCUUGAGUGCUGGAGAGGAAAGUGGAAUUCCUAGUGUAGCGGUGAAAUGCGUAGAUAUUAGGAGGAACACCAGUGGCGAAGGCGACUUUCUGGACAGUAACUGACGUUGAGGCACGAAAGUGUGGGGAGCAAACAGGAUUAGAUACCC
rnacentral:rRNA from 1 species